CAGAAACCUUUCUUCCUCGCACACGUCUCCUCCUUAUCUCUUCCUCACUCGCCUCGUCUUCUCUCCCCUGGGUCGCCGACGCCGCAGAUCUUGCGUUGUCGCCUCUCCCCGCAUGUCGCCUCCUCCAUCCCCCUUUCCCUCGCAGCCCCACACCCCACUCAUCUCAUAUCCUACCCAUUUUUUACUCAAUAACGAAUCUAGAUCCAUGGAGGCAGAUGACAGAGUCCGUAUGGUCGAUGGCAUCGGGGAGGAGACAGAGCGAUAGGACCGGUUCUAUUAUGCAGGGUGGAGCGGCGGCUGAAACGGGUGACCGGCGUGAGAGGGUGGGGUGAGGAUGAGGUCCUUUCUUUUGGCCAGGACCCGAGGAGGUAGGCGAAGAAUAAGAAGAAGAACCGACACAAGAAGAGUAAGAAGAAGCAGCGGAAGGAGGACACAAGCGCCAACAAGGAGGAGUACGAUUUCUUCUUGUGGCAAGGAGAGAAACACGCAAUCAAUAAGGUCAUUUUCGGGCACACUCUUUGAAACUUUUGUGCUCAUGCGUAUGAUGCUGGCAACCAGGUUCCUCCACUGCAUCCACCCGCUGUGAAGAUAUCACAUUUGGUUCCAAAUUAGUGCUAUGAUGUAUGCUUUAAGAAGUGAAGAUCAAUACAGUGGCUGAGGGUUGUGUGUGUUGGCUGUGGGGGUUGUAGCUGAGGUGGCAGCGACCAUUGCUAGCUAGAGGUAUUGACAUGCGUUAGCGUGCAACUGGAGCACAGAAGGGCAUGGUCGGAGGCAAGAAAUAAAGGACUCUCUAAAGUGUAGUAUGAAUCUCUCCCUGCAAUAUUAGCUUAAUGCACUUGGUUUUCUAGGUUGCAGAGCAUACUAUUUCUGUUACAUGUUUUACUUCACUAUUUUUUUAAAAAAAUUGGAGAGAUGAUUCCAGUACUCUCUACCAAUGUGAUGUUAGAAUCAAGAUGCAUGUGUCACUCGUUCCAUCAAGUUUAUAAUGAAUUUUCUAUUUUGUUGCUGAUGAUCUGAAAUCCCCGGUUUAUCCUUGCUCAAUGUUGCUUAAUAUACAUUUGUUAUUUUGAGUCUGAUGCAAUAACAAUACAUGGUG